GUAAUACAUCGGAACGUACCCAGUAGUGGGGGAUAACGUAGCGAAAGCUACGCUAAUACCGCAUACGAACUACGGUUGAAAGCGGGGGAUCGCAAGACCUCGCGCUAUUGGAGCGGCCGAUGGCAGAUUAGCUAGUUGGUAGGGUAAAAGCCUACCAAGGCGACGAUCUGUAGCUGGUCUGAGAGGACGACCAGCCACACUGGGACUGAGACACGGCCCAGACUCCUACGGGAGGCAGCAGUGGGGAAUUUUGGACAAUGGGGGAAACCCUGAUCCAGCAAUGCCGCGUGUGUGAAGAAGGCCUUCGGGUUGUAAAGCACUUUUGGCAGGAACGAAACGGCUUGGGUUAAUACCUCGGGCUAAUGACGGUACCUGCAGAAUAAGCACCGGCUAACUACGUGCCAGCAGCCGCGGUAAUACGUAGGGUGCAAGCGUUAAUCGGAAUUACUGGGCGUAAAGCGAGCGCAGGCGGUUAUGUAAGACAGAUGUGAAAUCCCCGGGCUUAACCUGGGAACUGCAUUUGUGACUGCAUGGCUAGAGUGCGUCAGAGGGGGGUGGAAUUCCACGUGUAGCAGUGAAAUGCGUAGAGAUGUGGAGGAACACCGAUGGCGAAGGCAGCCCCCUGGGAUGACACUGACGCUCAUGCU
rnacentral:rRNA from 1 species